rnacentral:rRNA from 1 species
CCUACGGGAGGCAGCAGUGAGGAAUAUUGGUCAAUGGGAGAGAUCCUGAACCAGCCACGCCGCGUGAGGGAAGACGGCCCUCUGGGUUGUAAACCUCUUUUGUCGGAGAACAAAACCCGGGACGUGUACCGGACUGCGUGUAUCCGAAGAAAAAGCAUCGGCUAACUCCGUGCCCGCAGCCGCGGUAAUACGGAGGUUGCGGGCGUUAUCCGGAUGUAGUGGGGUUAAAGGGUGCGUAGGCGGUCCGUUAAGUCAGCGGUAAAAUUGCGGGGCUCAACCCCGUCCAGCCGUUGAAACUGGCUGACUUGAGUGGGCGAGAAGCAGGCGGAAUGCGCGGUGUAGCGGUGAAAUGCGUAGAUAUCGCGCAGAACUCCGGUUGCGAAGGCAGCGUACCGGCGCCUGACUGACGCUGAGGCACGAAAGCGUGGGGAGCGAACAGGAUUAGAUACCCCGGUAGUC